CGGUAUCCACGAAAGUGUCUUAGGCCGAUGCCGUCGUCCAUAGCAAAAUAAAAUGGCGGCUAUCGUGCCUAACUUGCCUGACGUCGUACAUAAAAUUUUUCGACGGCCCUAACAUCGUGCUUAGCGGUAAAACAGGCUGGACCCUGUCUUACCAGCCCUUAAGGACGAUGGAUUUGAACGUAAACAAUCAAGAUGGCAGCGCCACAAGAGCAACAACCACAUCAGCCAGGGAAUAAUUACCUUAGAAAGGACGUUCUAAAUGAACUUAAUGAUGCUGAGCUCAUCAAGAGGUACAGGUUAGACCGGGAAGGUAUAUUAUUUGUUACCAACCUUGUAAGGGCAGCGCUGAAGAGUGAUACCAACAGGUCUAACCCGCUCACCCCGGAGUUGAAGGUUCUCAUAACCUUAAGAUAUCUUGCUACUGGCAAAAUGCAACAAUGUAGCAGUGAUGACCUUGGCCCCUCACAGUCCAGCAUCAGCAGAGCCAUCAGUAAAACUAUAGACGCCCUUGCAGAUGUUAAUGUCCUCAAGAGGUUCAUAACUUUUCCUGUCACCCAAGACAGCGCUGACCGAAAGAAAGCAGAAUUCUUUGCUAUAGCCAAUUUCCCUAACAUCGUAGGUGCCAUUGAUGGCACACACAUCCGAAUUGUGGCACCGAGGGAUCAAGAAGAAGUGUAUGUGAACCGGAAGGGGUAUCACAGCAUGAAUGUCCAAGUUGUAUUUAAUAUUGGACAUUCUUGCCAAGUGGCCAGGGUCAGUGCAUGAUGCACGUAUCUUGAACAGCAGUGGAUUGUCAAGAUUGUUUGACGGAGGAUAUGUGCCAGCAGGAAGUCACUUGCUUGGAGACAGUGGGUACCCCUGCAAGACAUGGCUCCUUACACCUUAUCUGCGUCCACUGCCUGGACCUCAGUCACGAUAUAAUAGGUCUCACAAAAUUACACGCAGUAUUGUUGAACGUGGAAUUGGACAACUCAAACGCCGAUUUCAUGUUUUGCAUGGUGAGGUACGAUUGAGGCCCCCCCUCAAGGUGUGCAAAAUCAUUCAUGUGUGUGGAAUGCUGCACAAUAUUUGCAAGGAUAGGAAUCUUCCUCUUCCUCUGGAUGACGAGCAACCAAUGGGUGCAGAGGCACAAGUCCCAGUGCCAUUAAAUGAUGCUGCAGAAGAACCUGCCAAUGCGCCCGGUGGUCACCGUAAUGAGGGUCGUGCCUAUCGGGAUGCAUUCUGCACCUUGCAUUUCAACAAUGAGGACUGAUGGAACAUCCUCCAACAGGGCCUCGUGUACCUACCUUGGUAAUGUUUCCUACCUUUUAAUGCAUUAUGAUAAAUUUAAAUUCCCAUUAGCAUAGUCUCUCAUCUCCUAACCACAAUUUCUGAUGACCUUCUUAUGAUUGUUUUCUAAAAAGGAGACUAGAAAGCUUCACCAUA